CAUUGCGCGCUCCUGUGUUCUAUCUACCGGCGUUGCUCCACCACCUCUCCAUCGUCGCCGCCUCUUCGUCUAUACUUCAUUUCGCCAAGCGAAACCCUAGUUCCUUUGAACUCUAAUUGCCCCGUAUUCAUUCUCAUACUUGAUAUAUGCGAGUAGUUGCCCUAAACCUAGCUUAACAUAUGGAAAAACCUCUUCCUUUCUCUUUUCCUUGUUAACCAUCAUUACUUCCAGAUGGCCACAACCUUAUUUGGGGCAACCCUUCGCGGAAGCAAGAAUGUCGCAUUUCUAUUUCAUCUCCAAAUGCGCAAUGGGCUUGGCCAUCUAAUUGGCAUUCUCCCGCUCUCUCAAUCUGUUUUACCCAAACCCACACUAGGGAAACACAUUAAUAGAACUAUUUGUUCGGGUUUCACCCUGGCAGCUGCACCAUUGCUGUGCCGUCAAUCCUCAGGUUUUUGCACGGCGGUAGAAUGCGAUGUAAAAACGGUGCUCGCGCCCUCAACUGGUUUAGCAACUAAGUCCAAGAACAAAAAAGCGAGGAUGAAAUCGAGGGUGGACUUCACAAAAAUGGAUCCUUCACUUCUACCAACUGUGAUAAUCGUUGGCCGUCCCAACGUUGGAAAGUCUGCACUUUUCAACCGUUUGAUUCGGAGGAGGGAGGCACUCGUGUACAACACCCCUGAUGACCAUGUCACUCGGGACAUCAGAGAGGGAAUUGCCAAGUUGGGGGAUUUGAGGUUUAAGGUCUUGGAUUCAGCAGGGUUGGAGACGGAAGCCACAUCGGGUACUAUUCUCAGUAGAACGACAGAGAUGACAGGAAAUGUUUUGGCAAAGACCCAAUUGGCCAUUUUCUUGAUUGAUGUGAGGGAUGGACUCCAGCCGCUUGAUCUUGAAGUAGGGAAGUGGAUGCGGAAGCAUGCAUCUAACAUCCACACGAUUGUGGCCAUGAAUAAGUCCGAAUCACUUGAUGAACGAGGGCUUGUUACUGCGGCUGCUGGGGAAGCUCAUAGCUUGGGAUUUGGUGAUCCGAUUGCAAUAUCUGCAGAGACUGGGCUGGGAAUGGCGGAACUCUAUGGGACCCUUCGACCUUUGUUGGAAGACUAUGCACUUCAACUUCCUAAUGAUAUGAAAUGUGAUGAAAAUGCCUUAGUCGAAGUCGGUGAGAAUUCAGAGAGCAAGGUAUCCCUACAAUUGGCAAUUGUGGGACGUCCUAAUGUUGGAAAGUCUACACUGUUGAAUACUUUGCUUCAAGAAGAAAGAGUUCUGGUUGGGCCAGAGUCUGGCUUGACAAGAGAUUCAAUUAGAGCCAAGUUUCAAUUUGAAGACCGCACUAUAUAUUUGGUGGAUACAGCAGGUUGGUUGCAUAGAUCUGGACAAGAAAAAGGCCCUUCUUCUUUGAGCAUCGUGCAGACAAGAAAAAAUCUCAUGAGGGCUCACGUUGUAGCAUUGAUACUUGAUGGAGAGGAGAAUUUAGAAGUAUUAUGUAAUACCCUGACUUGAGCGAGCCGCGUGAAGAAGUCGAAGAAGUUGAAAAAGACGAAGCUGUCAAAGGAACUUUCCGUCACGUAUUGUGGAAACCGAAGGAAGGAAACUUAAGAAGACGAAGAGGGUUCAAAUGGUUUGAUGCCGUUUGGUCUUCUGGUCACGACCGGCUUCGUCCACUGAAGACGACGAAGGAGGAGUCGAAGAAGUCGAUCGAAGCUCAAUUGACGUGAAUUGCGUUGCUUGGAAGCCGAAGGAGGCGUUGAUGGAAUCAAAAGAAAGUGCGUCGGAUGGAGUGUUCGUUGCCGUUUGGAGUCAGAGGAAGCAGAGGAUGCGAUAACUUCCUUUAAAUAGGGAUUUAGGGAGAUGAGAAAAGACAAGUUGAGAACAAGAACAAGGGAGGAGAAAUCAAGGUUUUGCAUGCAAGAGGAUACAAAGAUUGCGAGAAAAAAGAGCAGUAUGAAACAUGAUGAAGUGAUUAUAGCUCGUCAAGCAGUUGAAGAGGGCCGUGCUCUGGUUGUGAUAGUGAACAAGAUGGAUCUUCUCAGAGGGAAACAAAAUUCUG